CAGGUGUGAGCUGUGAGGAUGAUGAGGGCUCCGAGCAGCCUCAGGUGUGAGCUGUGAGGAUGAUGAGGGCUCAGAGCAGCCCCAGCUGUGAGUCGUGAGGACGAUGAGGGGGCGGCUCCUGCCGGGGGCUGCUUGAGGCAGUUUGCCUGCGCUCCCUUUUGCCUGGAGCUGCUGAGCAGAGGGGUUUAUGGGGGGCUCCCGGCGCUGUCUCGUGCAAGGACGCCGAGAGCUUCUCCGAGGGUCUGGGGGAACACCUGGAUACGCCCUUGGAUGCGUGGAGCAUUGCUCAAAGGAGGUGCCGAGGAACAAAGCUUCGUGCCGGGAAGCAGCAGCCGAACAGCCGUGACCAAGGGACCAGAGCCCGGUGACUGCAGGACAUUGCCAGCGAGAGAGGCGGCCUUCCUUUGCAGUGGACGUGGCUUCUCAUCCCAGGAUGCUCGAGAGAUAAGUCGAGGGCUGUGCCACGCUGAGGGGAUGGAAGCGAGGUGCUGGGAGGGCCUUUUGAGUAGCUUCUUGGGAGGCAGGGAUGUGCAGGAGAUGGCCCCUUAGGCCACAUGGAGGAGAAGUCUCCCAGUGCUGAGGUGCUCAGGGCAGAGCGGUCCCGGUGCCUGUCACUUGUGUCACUUGUCUGUCGUGCCUUCGGUGUCUUUUGGAUGUCUCGUGUCUUGUGCCUUAGUCCUUUGAGGGGCUUCUGGUUUGUCCUGUUCUGUGUCACGGGUGUCUGGGUGUUUGGGCCGAAGCCGCUCUGCCCUGCUGCAAAGCCUGGUGUAGGUAUCAUAGGAGAAGUCCUGGGGGCCUGGAAGUUUGUAAUGCAGGGUGUAGGUGGGCUCUGGAUGGGAUUGGUAGAUUGACUCAAGACCUCUGGAGCUCCUGUGUUACCCUGCAGCACUCUGACUUUUGUCCUACCGUUCUUUCAGGUGCAGCCAGCUGCAAUCCGUGGCAGAGGGGCCCGUGCCGGGUGAGUGGGUUGCCCCGAGCAGGCAGUCAAGCCGGGUAUCAGCAGGCAAGGCGUUCCAGUGGUAUUACGCCGAGACCCCGUCAGCAAGUGGCCAACAGAGCCGGGGUCACCUGGGGAGCCUGCAGGAAGGGCCAAGGAGUUGCUGCAGGCCCUGCGACGACGGCGUCGGCCUCCGAGGGCGGCCGCAGCGUGCGGGCCGAGGAGCCGGGCGUCCUUAGGAGAAUGCCGUGACCAAGGGACCAGAGCCCGGUGACUGCGGGAAAUUGCCAGCGAGAGAGGCGGCCUUCCUUUGCAGCGGACGUGGAUUCUCAUCCCAGGAUGCUCGAGAGAUAAGUCGAGGGCUGUGCCAGGCUGAGGGCAUGGAAGCGAGGUGCUGGGAGGGCCUUUUGAGUAGCUUCUUGGGAGGCAGGGAUGUGCAGGAGAUGGCCCCUUAGGCCACAUGGAGGAGAAGUCUCAGCGUGCUGAGGUGCUCAGGGCAGAGCGGUCCCGGUGCCUGUCACUUGUGUCACUUGUCUGUCGUGCCUUCUGUGUCUUUUGGAUGUCUCGUGUCUUGUGCCUUAGUCCUUUGAGGGGCUUCUGGUUUGUCCUGUUCUGUGUCACGGGUGUCUGGGUGUUUGGUCCGAUGCCGCUCUGCCCUGCUGCAAAGCCUGGUGUAGGUAUCAUAGGAGAAGUUCUGGGGGCCUGGAAAUUUGUAAUGCAGGGUGUAGGUGGGCUCUGGAUGGGAUUGGUAGAUUGACUCAAGACCUCUGGAGCUCCUGUGUUACCCUGCAGCACUCUGACUUUUGUCCUACCGUUCUUUCAGAUGCAGCCAGCUGAAUUCCGUGGCAGAGGGGCCCGUGCCGGGUGAGUGGGUUGCCCCGAGCAGGUCAGUCUCCGUUUGUCUUUGCAGGGGAAGCGUACGUGGUGACUCUGUGUUCACCGCGUUGUUCUUUGUCUUGAUUUUUAGGCAGUCAAGCCGGGUAUCAGCAGGCAAGGCGUUCCAGUGGUAUUACGCCGAGACCCCGUCAGCAAGUGGCCAACAGAGCCGGUUCGUCGCUCUCGUGGGAACUCGGGAAGUAGCGCAGGGCUCUCUGCUGAAGCCUUGACCUUUUCCGUUUGAAGGGGUCACCUGCAGGAAGGGCCAAGGAGUUGCUGCAGGCCCUGCGACGACGGCGUCGGCCUCCGAGGGCGGCCGCAGCGUGCGGGCCGAGGAGCCGGGCGUCCUUAGGAGAAUGCCGUGACCAAGGGACCAGAGCCCGGUGACUGCGGGAAAUUGCCAGCGAGAGAGGCGGCCUUCCUUUGCAGCGGACGUGGAUUCUCAUCCCAGGAUGCUCGAGAGAUAAGUCGAGGGCUGUGCCAGGCUGAGGGCAUGGAAGCGAGGUGCUGGGAGGGCCUUUUGAGUAGCUUCUUGGGAGGCAGGGAUGUGCAGGAGAUGGCCCCUUAGGCCACACGGAGGAGAAGUCUCCCAGUGCUGAGGUGCUCAGGGCAGAGCGGUCCCGGUGCCUGUCACUUGUGUCACUUGUCUGUCGUGCCUUCUGUGUCUUUUGGAUGUCUCGUGUCUUGUGCCUUAGUCCUUUGAGGGGCUUAUGGUUUGUCCUGUUCUGUGUCACGGGUGUCUGGGUGUUUGGGCCGAAGCCGCUCUGCCCUGCUGCAAAGCCUGGUGUAGGUAUCAUAGGAGAAGUCCUGGGGGCCUGGAAAUUUGUAAUGCAGGGUGUAGGUGGGCUCUGGAUGGGAUUGGUAGAUUGACUCAAGACCUCUGGAGCUCCUGUGUUACCCUGCAGCACUCUGACUUUUGUCCUACCGUUCUUUCAGGUGCAGCCAGCUGCAAUCCGUGGCAGAGGGGCCCGUGCCGGGUGAGUGGGUUGCCCCGAGCAGGUCAGUCUCCGUUUGUCUUUGCAGGGGAAGCGUACGUGGUGACUCUGUGUUCACCGCGUUGUUCUUUGUCUUGAUUUUUAGGCAGUCAAGCCGGGUAUCAGCAGGCAAGGUGAGCAGAGACUGGUGGAUGGCCGCAGGUGGUAUUGCUCUGGUCUCGAUUUCUGGUGCAACACUUGGGCUCCGUUCUCGUUUGUGUGCUUUAGGCGUUCCAGUGGUAUUACGCCAAGACCCCGUCAGCAAGUGGCCAACAGAGCCGGUUCGUCGCUCUCGUGGGAACUCGGGAAGUAGCGCAGGGCUCUGUGCUGAAGCCUUGACCCUUUCCGUUUGAAGGGGUCACCUGGGGAGCCUGCAGGAAGGGCCAAGGAGUUGCUGCAGGCCCUGCGACGACGGCGUCGGCCUCCGAGGGCGGCCGCAGCGUGCGGGCCGAGGAGCCGGGCGUCCUUAGGAGAAUGCCGUGACCAAGGGACCAGAGCCCGGUGACUGCGGGAAAUUGCCAGCGAGAGAGGCGGCCUUCCUUUGCAGCGGACGUGGCUUCUCAUCCCAGGAUGCUCGAGAGAUAAGUCGAGGGCUGUGCCACGCUGAGGGGAUGGAAGCGAGGUGCUGGGAGGGCCUUUUGAGUAGCUUCUUGGGAGGCAGGGAUGUGCAGGAGAUGGCCCCUUAGGCCACAUGGAGGAGAAGUCUCCCAGUGCUGAGGUGCUCAGGGCAGAGCGGUCCCGGUGCCUGUCACUUGUGUCACUUGUCUGUCGUGCCUUCUGUGUCUUUUGGAUGUCUCGUGUCUUGGGCCUUAGUCCUUUGAGGGGCUUAUGGUUUGUCCUGUUCUGUGUCACGGGUGUCUGGGUGUUUGGGCCGAAGCCGCUCUGCCCUGCUGCGAAGCCUGGUGUAGGUAUCAUAGGAGAAGUCCUGGGGGCCUGGAAGUUUGUAAUGCAGGGUGUAGGUGGGCUCUGGAUGGGAUUGGUAGAUUGACUCAAGACCUCUGGAGCUCCUGUGUUACCCUGCAGCACUCUGACUUUUGUCCUACCGUUCUUUCAGGUGCAGCCAGCUGCAAUCCGUGGCAGAGGGGCCCGUGCCGGGUGAGUGGGUUGCCCCGAGCAGGUCAGUCUCCAUUUGUCUUUGCAGGGGAAGCGUACGUGGUGACUCUGUGUUCACCGCGUUGUUCUUUGUCUUGAUUUUUAGGCAGUCAAGCUGGGUAUCAGCAGGCAAGGCGUUCCAGUGGUAUUACGCCGAGACCCCGUCAGCAAGUGGCCAACAGAGCCGGUUCGUCGCUCUCGUGGGAACUCGGGAAGUAGCGCAGGGCUCUGUGCUGAAGCCUUGACCUUUUCCGUUUGAAGGGGUCACCUGGGGAGCCUGCAGGAAGGGCCAAGGAGUUGCUGCAGGCCCUGCGACGACGGCGUCGGCCUCCGAGGGCGGCCGCAGCGUGCGGGCCGAGGAGCCGGGCGUCCUUAGGAGAAUGCCGUGACCAAGGGACCAGAGCCCGGUGACUGCGGGAAAUUGCCAGCGAGAGAGGCGGCCUUCCUUUGCAGCGGACGUGGAUUCUCAUCCCAGGAUGCUCGAGAGAUAAGUCGAGGGCUGUGCCAGGCUGAGGGCAUGGAAGCGAGGUGCUGGGAGGGCCUUUUGAGUAGCUUCUUGGGAGGCAGGGAUGUGCAGGAGAUGGCCCCUUAGGCCACAUGGAGGAGAAGUCUCCCAGUGCUGAGGUGCUCAGGGCAGAGCGGUGCCGGUGCCUGUCACUUGUGUCACUUGUCUGUCGUGCCUUCGGUGUCUUUUGGAUGUCUUGUGUCACGUGUCUUGUGCCUUAGUCCUUUGAGGGGCUUCUGGUUUGUCCUGUUCUGUGUCACGGGUGUCUGGGUGUUUGGGCCGAUGCCGCUCUGCCCUGCUGCAAAGCCUGGUGUAGGUAUCAUAGGAGAAGUCCUGGGGGCCUGCAGAGAUGCUGUUUUUUUCUGGAAGAGUUAUGUGGGAGCCGAAAAGUUACCAUGGCAUUGCAGUUCCCUGCACAGAAAAGACCCAGGGAAGUGGAACACAGCCAGGUGGUUUUGUGUGGCACCACAACUGAGAGCAUCAGUUAGGUGAGGAGGCGCGAGCAGCUCCCCGCUUUCGCAGACACAGUAGCAAUGUCAAGCAGUUUCGCCCUUUUCCAGACCACUGGCACGUGCUUGGGGACAAUAAGCUGUAUUUUUUACAGCCAGGUCUUCUGAGCCGCGCUCCUCCUGCUCUGGGGUGGCCGCUGCUCAAUGAUCACAGUGAAAACAACCUUGUGUCCCGGCACCCUGCAAAAUUCCCAGCUUAGAUGGCACUGAAGCGCAGCUUUGGCUUUCAGGCAUCUCUCCUGCAACCCGUGCCUUGUGUGGUCUCUGCAGGGAAUUAGUUAUUAAUUAAUUGCUUCCAAGUUUUUUUUAAUUUCCAAAGAAUAUCAGGUGACUUUUACAGCCUCUUCAGUGCUCCCCAAGCUUCAGACCACACCUAAGUGCUGACUUUCACUGCCUACAGGUCUUUUCUGACCGGAAUGAUUCUGUGAAUUUUUCCCUUAACUUGAGCUUAAGGGCAAAGCGCCGCAUUGAUUGCGUUUUGGAGAGAAAGAUUUGAAGGCUCGGCUGUAAAUUUCUCUUGUGUCCCGUCUUCCGGGUUCAUUCCUGUUGUAAUUUGCAAGUGGCAGAAGAGUGUUGCUGUUUAUUAAAAGCAAUAGCGCUCUCAAAGUGUCGAUGGGGGCGAUGAUUGCAGGGGUGCCAAUUGUGAAAAAUAACUUUGCCCACAUCUUCCCCAGGGCCUGGGCAGAGAGAGGUGGAGCUGGGCCGUGGAGUCCCCCGGAUCCUUCCACGGGUGUGGGCGUCUGCAGCACCGGGGAUCCGUGGCACACCUCCUUCCUGCAGAGGCUGAAAGCUGAGCCUACAAUUUCAAGCAGGACAAUCACCUUCCCAAGGCAAUAACAAGCGCCUCCCAAGAGCAGCUGGUGAAGGCGGCUCAGAAGGGAUGUGGUGAAACGUUUGGUCCAUCCAUCGUGCUUCUGGACGUGCAGGAAUCUUCAAAAUCCUUUCCUCCUCCUCAAGACUCUGGGGCUCAUCAUUCCGUAGAAGCAGCCAAUUUGGAAGCACUCUGCAGAGAUCUAUCUGCCUGGGAGGAGAAGCAGAGGCGACCACUGAAAAGUGGCACGUGAGCUCUGGUGAGGACUGCUGCUCCGCCUGCCUUGGUGUGGGAACUGCUGAGCUGCCGUUCCUGUGGUGGGAGUGUUUCUCCUCUCGUGCAGGCAAGGCAGAGACCUCCCAGGUAAGGAGCAGGACAGCACGAAGACUGAAAGUGUGAUAAGAUGUGGAGUGAAAUGGAGAAUCCGAGAAGUGACAAGAGCAUCCGGUGCACAGGGGGGCUGUGCAUUUUGCUUUUUGCUUGGAUUUCAACUCCAAAGUUGUGAGGAAUUUGGAAUGAGAUGGGACAUUUCAGAAGAAGACCAAGGAGAGGAAGAAAAAGUUGUUGCAGUCCUGGCAAAAUCUUUUUUUCCUAGCUAAUAAAAGAAGUUAGUUUGAAAAAAAAAAGAAAAAAAAGAGUGGUUU